CCAUCACCAGUUGGUUUCCUGGAGAAAGAUCUUUUAUCUGGAGGCAGUCGCUAGGCUGUCUCAAUUUGCUCUUUUUUUCAGAGCAGCAGUUUAAAUAAAGCCUUCAACUCAACUAGCCACACCACCCCAAUUUGGAUUAAAAAAAAAACAAAGACAAAGAAGGGGUAAAGUCAAACAGUCUUCUUCACAAUCUACAUACUAUGACUAGGAAUGCGGUACAAGGAAUUCCUGACAUCUCGUGGAAAAAUAGUAUAAAUAAGCAAAAGGCUUUUCAUAAUGUAAUUUUUUUAUCAUAGAUAAUCACCA
rnacentral:lncRNA from 1 species